UACGAACCGUCCAAACGUUAUUCGGAUUUAUUGGGCUUAAAGGGUAUGUAGGCGGCGCUGUCAGUCGGGUGUGAAAUCCCUCGGCUCAACCGAGGAACUGCGCCCGAUACUGCAGUGCUUGAGGGAGACAGAGGUAAGCGGAACUGAUGGUGGAGCGGUGAAAUGCGUUGAUAUCAUCAGGAACACCAGUGGCGAAAGCGGCUUACUGGGUCUCUUCUGACGCUGAGAUACGAAAGCUAGGGGAGCGAACGGGAUUAGAUACCCCGGUAGUCCUAGCUGUAAACGAUGAGCACUUGAUCGAGGGGCCCCCCAUAGCCUCUCGGUCGUAGCGAAAGUGAUAAGUGCUCCGCCUGGGGAGUAUGGUCGCAAGGCUGAA
rnacentral:rRNA from 1 species